rnacentral:rRNA from 1 species
UACGAAGGGGGCUAGCGUUGUUCGGAAUUACUGGGCGUAAAGCGCACGUCGGCGGAUUUGUAAGUCAGGGGUGAAAUCCCGGGGCUCAACCUCGGAACUGCCUUUGAUACUGCAAGUCUCGAGUCCGGAAGAGGUGAGUGGAAUUCCUAGUGUAGAGGUGAAAUUCGUAGAUAUUAGGAAGAACACCAGUGGCGAAGGCGGCUCACUGGUCCGGUACUGACGCUGAGGUGCGAAAGCGUGUGGAGCAAACAGG